rnacentral:rRNA from 1 species
CUACGGGAGGCUGCAGCCAAGAAUCUUCCUCAAUGGCCGAAAGGCUGAAGGAGCGACGCCGCGUGCAUGAUGAAUCCCCUCGGGGUGUAAAGUGCUUUUAUCAGGGACGAAACAAUGACGGUACCUAAUGAAUAAGGGGCUGCUAACCUCGUGCCAGCAGCAGCGGUAAUACGAGGGCCCCAAGCGUUAUCCGGAUUUAUUGGGCGUAAAGAGUCCGUAGGCGGUUUGUCGCAUCUCCUGUUAAAUCUCGAGGCUCAACCUCGAAACCGCGGGAGAGAUGGAUAAACCAGAGACCGGAAGAGGCAAGUGGAAUUGCUGGUGUAGGGGUUAAAUCCGUUAAUAUCAGCAGGAACACCAAAUGCGAAGGCAACUUGCUAGGGCGGUUCUGACGCUCAUGGACGAAAGCGUGGGGAGCGAAGGGGAUUAGAUACCCUGGUAGUC